UACGUAGGGUGCAAGCGUUGUCCGGAAUUAUUGGGCGUAAAGAGCUCGUAGGCGGUUUGUCGCGUCUGCUGUGAAAACCCGAGGCUCAACCUCGGGCCUGCAGUGGGUACGGGCAGACUAGAGUGCGGUAGGGGAGAUUGGAAUUCCUGGUGUAGCGGUGGAAUGCGCAGAUAUCAGGAGGAACACCGGUGGCGAAGGCGGCUCACUGGCUCAUUACUGACGCUGAGGCGCGACAGCAUGGGGAGCAAACAGG
rnacentral:rRNA from 1 species